UGGCUCAGAUUGAACGCUGGCGGCAGGCCUAACACAUGCAAGUCGAGCGGUAACAUUUCUAGCUUGCUAGAAGAUGACGAGCGGCGGACGGGUGAGUAAUGCUUGGGAACAUGCCUUGAGGUGGGGGACAACCAUUGGAAACGAUGGCUAAUACCGCAUAAUGUCUACGGACCAAAGGGGGCUUCGGCUCUCGCCUUUAGAUUGGCCCAAGUGGGAUUAGCUAGUUGGUGAGGUAAAGGCUCACCAAGGCGACGAUCCCUAGCUGGUUUGAGAGGAUGAUCAGCCACACUGGAACUGAGACACGGUCCAGACUCCUACGGGAGGCAGCAGUGGGGAAUAUUGCACAAUGGGCGCAAGCCUGAUGCAGCCAUGCCGCGUGUGUGAAGAAGGCCUUCGGGUUGUAAAGCACUUUCAGUCAGGAGGAAAGGUUAGUAGUUAAUACCUGCUAGCUGUGACGUUACUGACAGAAGAAGCACCGGCUAACUCCGUGCCAGCAGCCGCGGUAAUACGGAGGGUGCGAGCGUUAAUCGGAAUUACUGGGCGUAAAGCGUACGCAGGCGGUUUGUUAAGCGAGAUGUGAAA
rnacentral:rRNA from 1 species